UGCAAUAGAUAAAGCCUUUGUUUAUCUUGUGAUGAUUUUUUAUUGUUGAAUUGUCAUUUGGUCAACUUCUAAUAUCUGAUAAUGUAGUAUUGAAUUUAAAAAGAUCCUUAUGAAUUUGUAGAAAUAGUGAAUGAAGUGCUGCCCAAUAUUGACAUCAAGGUUUCGAUAAAAAAAAACACCAUAUCAUAAUUUUUGAAUCUGACAUAUUCAAAUAUAAACAUUGCAUGUUUUAGUUUUCAUUAAUAUUUGCUGUUUAUAGGGUGGGUCAUCGGAUAUUUGUUGGACAGUUGCAAAGAAUGCAUAAGAGUAUUUCGUCAUUGGAUAUCUGUUACUAAAGUUUAUUGAUGUAAAUUAUAAUUAAUUAUCAUGUACAGUCCGGAGCCGAAUCCAACAACGGUAAUGAAACAGUUUGACUGAUAAUUAAGGUAAUUAUAUAACUCAUGAAUAAAAUGAAAAAAAACAUAAUUCAUCUUUCAGCUUAAUGCAUUUUAGGCUAAAUAUUGAUAUACUAUAACUUACUCCAGAUUAAUAGUUAUAGGAUAACCUCGGGAUACCUCUAAAAGUCCUUCCAAUCCUGAUGGACAUAAAAUACUUUUGUACUACUCUAAUAUCUGUGAAAGGAUUUCAUAAUUCAUUUAAGCAUAAUUGUAGUUUUAGAAUUUUGUCGUCGAAUUUGAGCAAUUGAAAAACAAGAAAUAUUUCCUCGUGAUAAUUUUUUUUUUAGAUUAAACAGGGAGUCCUUUGUAAAUAAACGUUGAAUAUACGGAAGGUGUCAAAAAUAUAUAACAAAACCUAAAUAUGGUUUGUGACUCAUUUGGAUACAAUCACUCACUACGAAGGAGCUGCAGAUGUAUUUGUAUCAUUUCCUGUUUGGCUAUGAUUAUCCAAUUCUUAUGAAUAGUUUUUUGUAACUUCAACAAUUGUUCUAAAUCAAAAAAAUAUUUAAAAAAACUUCUGAGCAUUUCUGAAAUAAUUGAAGAGAUAAAGAAAACCGUCAUGUAUGUAAUGAGAUGAAUAGUAAAACUUGUUAAUAUUUUCAUAUAAUUUCGUAUCUAUGUAGUUAAUGGGUUUAAUUUGAUUUUGGCUGUUAUGACUAUUCUAUUAUUAUCAUGAUUAUACGUAGUCUCAUUCCAGGUAUGUUUCACCCAAAAUCAUGUUCUUUAUGUCAUCAAUUAUUACGUAAAUGGAUUUGUGUUCGAAGAAAUAGUUGAAAUACUAAAUUAAUCCAUCAAUGACGUUUCACAUGUCAAAAGAGCCAUAUCUACGAAUAAAAAUCAUUCAGGAACUUUUGAUUAUUAAUCAUUUGUGGACAAAUAUUGAAGAUUAUCUAUAGAAAAAAUUAACUUUAGUUUAAAUCCUUGGAGUAGAUAUCUUGAGAGGUGACGAGGAUAGUAUAAUGUGGUGUCUCGUACUAUAUGUGAGUAAUUAAACGAAGCUAUAAAGGAUUUCUUUUUUGAACAUAACAAAACCCUCAUUCAUGAGUCUCUAAAUAUUUAUAGUGUUCCCUUUAUAUAUACAAAAUUGAAGCAGCCUAUUACAAAGUGAUCAUCUUAGAGUAUCUUUUGAAUAACACUCCCCUUAAAUGGAAUAUAGGGAAACUAAAUAUAUCUAGUUGGGUUUCAAUCUCUAAUGUGGAACUGUAUCCUUAAAUGAAAGACCUUAAGUUUGUUUCAAAUAACUGUCGAACUAUAUAAACUAACAUAGAUGUAUCAUGUGCAUCUCUGGAGUGAUGACUUUGAUGCAUAAAUAAUUAAAUUUUUAGUGUCAAGAAUAAUAGUGACAAUUUCCUUGGUAUAUAUGUAGUAUUAGAUCAAAUACUAAUUUCUGUUUCAUUUUUAUACAUUUCUUUUAUACUCUUUAUUCAUCAAACUACACGGUAUUACUCAUUAUAAAAGAUACUUAUGAAGAAAGAAUACAGUAAACAAAAAGAGAACAAUAAUAAUAGAUAAACGGGUUAAUGUGCAGAUAGAAGUCAUCCUCUCUAUACCGAACUACAUACACCCCCCUCAGAUACAUUUGGCGUAAGAUUGUAAGUUGAAAUAGAUUUCCCAUUUUUUAGAAUUAUAAUUUUUUUCUUAAUUUACAUAAAACUUUGAAUGUGCCUGAAUAGAAAUGGUCAAAACAUUUCUUUAUAGGUGGGUUUAAAGUAUAGACUUCGUCACAGUUUAACAGACUUUUGAGCUUUGGGUCCUUCUUUGACUCUUUUUUUUAAAAUUGGUUAUGUGUUUACCUUUGUCUUCACAUUUUUGUCCGAUUUCAAAAUUACUCCUGGAGACCGGAUCUGUUGGCUAAAAAUUUACUCUGCAGGAGAUAAGUUUUCGCCAUAUUUGACGGUUGUAUGUAGGUUUAAUAAUAUUUUAGGAAGAACAUUCACCUAAUUUUGACCUGGUUCAAGAAUCUUACAACGUAUGGCCUACAUUAGGGUAUCGUGCUCACUUUCAAUUAAUCAAUUACCUUGUGGAUGAUAUGGAGUAGUUUUGUUGUUAAUGAUGCAUAACUUUUGGCUCAUUUUUCCCCACAAAAUUGACGUAAGUUGUCCUCUACGAUCAGGUGUAAUAAUUUUGGGAUAGCCAUAUCGAGAAAACCAAACGCUCUCUAAUUGUAACAAAUUAUCCCAGUGUUGGCAGAUGAAAUUGGGAAUACUUCAAGCCAUUUUGUACACCUGUCUAUUAUGUUAGGGCUAUUGGUUUGCCAUUUACAUUUCGAAAUAAUCCAAUUAAAUCGAAAUUUAAAUGAUAAAAUUUUUUGACUUUUGAUUUGACUUUACAAAAAGGUAAUUUUAUUCCAGAGUUUUUGUUAGAUUUCUUAAAUUUCACAAUUUUUUACAUAAAUUUCAAUAUCUACAGACAUACCAUGCCAAUAAUAUUGCCAUUGAAUCUUUUUAUUAGUAUUUUUAAUCCCCCUGUGUGAUUGUGUAUGGAAUAAUUGGAUAAUUUUUUGAACUAAUAUUUUUGGAUCUAUUGGCCUAGCCACCUUCACACAACAUCGAACAUCACACCAAAUAUUAUGACCGUCUACUUCGACCUGCUCGGCCAGAGGAUAGUCAUUUGUAACGUUAUGUUUAGUUUGCUCAACCUCCCAUUCUCUCCAGUCAAUGAAGUCCAACUUAAGCAUAUUAAUUAUUGACAGAAAAUCGUUAGGAACAUUAUUUUUCCCAGAAAUAUGUUUAAAAGUGAUGUUUUUUUCACUUAAUUCUUGAAAAUAACGAAAAUACUUUGCGUGCCAAUUGGGGUUUUUACUGUCUGAGCAGAAAUUACGGGUUUUUGGUCGGUGAAGCACAUAGUUCUCCGGCCUUCAAUUAUAUGACUAAACUGUAAACCCCAUCUCUAAUUGCCAAUAAUUCCCUCCCGAAAGCAGAGUAUUUCUUUUCUCUAUCGGACAAUACUCUACUAUAGAAGCCUAGGGGAUAAAAUUUACAUCCCUCGCCUAUUCCUACGUCGGAAGUGUCUACACAAAUCCGUAAAUAUUUUCCAGGACUUUAAUUUGCACGUGUUGUUAUCGAAUCUAGUUGUUCUUUAAGCGAUUCAAAGGCAUCGGUCAUGAAUGGGGACCAUUUUACUUUAUCUUUGUUCCUUCUUCCUUUAAUAAUUUCAUAAAAAUGACUUAACAAUUGCCCCAAUUUGGGUAUGAAACGGGGAUAAUAGUUCGCCAUACCUAUCAAUUUGUUUACUUCUUUGACUGAAUGGGGUUGUUGAAAUUGUUUUAAAUCAAAAAUCUUUUUAUCCAUAGGUCUAAUACCCUUGCGAUAAUUGGUAAAACUUACAAUAUCAACCUCUUUUUUACAAAAUUCACUCUUGCUGGCGUUAUAGCUAAGGUCAUUGUCUCGUAAAGUUUUAAAAAAAGUAGAUAUUAAUUUAUGAUGGUCCUUUUUCGUUCGACUAUAUAGAAGUAUGUCGUCAAUGUAAGCAAAACAACCCUCAAUUCUACUUAAAACGCCAUCCAUCAUUUGUUGAAAGGAGCUUGUGGUAUUCCUAAGCCAGAACGGCAUCCGAACGUAUUGAAAAAACCCACAUGGCGUCGAUAUAGCUGUUUUACUUUAUCGUUUUCGUCCAUUCGAUUCGGAAUCUGAUGAUAAGCUUUUAAAAGAUCAAUUUUACUAAAAAAAUGUGAAUGGCUAAACUUUUCACCAAAUGUCUGAAUGGAAGGCAUUGGGUACUUAUUUGCUAUAGUAGUAUUAUCUAAUAACUGAUAAUCUCCAACCAGACAUCAAUCUCCAUUACACUUUUUAACAAGGUGAAUAGGAGAGGAUCAACUAGAUUUAGAGUUUUCAAUAAUACCAGCAUCCCGAAGUUAUUUAAUCUCUUUUGAUAAUAUCAAUUUUUUCAGGAGUGAAUUUCUUUGGGCGUGUAACAAAGGGCAUACCAGUUGUUUCAAUUUUGUGCACUAAACCGUGCAAAGAUGAUCUUUUAAAAAAAAUUGCACUGAAGUGCAGGAAAAAAUUUGACAGUAUUAUGUGCUUCCUUACAAAGAUGACUAACACACACAUUUUUAAUUGAAGGCCCACCUGCAGUCAUUUUCUUAUUGUACAAAUCCAUGACAAUAUAAUUUGAACUCAAAAAAAUCAAACCCCAACACCUCAAAACUCAUGUUUGUAACAACAAAAUCCCAAUUCUUUAUUUCUAAUCCGGGGAACUUUACCUUUUGGGUGGAAAUGCCAUAGUUUUUUAAUGUUUGAUUAUUAAGGAUAAAAGUUUUAAUUGCAAAGGCUUUAUAUUGAGAAAUUUUGAGAGAAGACAAGAGAUCUAAGAAGAAUUUUAAUGAUCUACAAAACUGGGAAAUACAAUCAGGAACAUGAGCUUCGAUCAUCAAAAGUUUUUAUUUUGAAGCGUCGGAUAAAAGCGACUCUCAUCGAGUUUUUUUAACAUCCUAAGCAAGAAUUCGAAUACAAAAAUGGGGUUGAUUACAUCAAAACGAGUUCACACCAAAAAUUUUAUGAAAACAACGAAGUUCUCUUACAAUCUUCUUGGAAAAGGUUGAAGUAGGGAAAAAGUCCUUUUUCCUGACCAAGUAGAAAUCUUUUUAUAGUCGAGGUGUAUCUUGUAAUUCAAUACGCUGGUGGACACGACACUCUCCUCAGUUAUUGCAUUAUUGAUGAAGUCUUCAUAUUUAGAAUGUUCAAAGGACUGGAUGAGAUGCUGUCUUGAUGUAGUCUGAAGGCAAUUCAAAACUGUAUGUUUUAUGACGGCCAUCUUGAGAUUUGUUCCAUCCUUAGUAAGUCAUUCAAAAUGUCACAAGACUUUGAUUUGGCUUCUUUAAUGCUGAGUGAUUCUUUGCCACAAAUGAGUUGAGCUAGUUCAGUAACGUCACUUGUUUGGAUCCUGUACAACUUUGGAUCAAUAAUUUUUUUAAAUCACUCUUUGAAGUAAUAGAAAAUAGACACUUGUUGAGAUGGUAGUCUGGUAUUUUAGUCAGGAACGGCUUCUAAUAGAUGAUUGAAC
rnacentral:lncRNA from 1 species